rnacentral:rRNA from 1 species
UACGUAGGGGGCAAGCGUUGUCCGGAUUUACUGGGCGUAAAGCGUGCGCAGGCGGUCCGCAAAGUCUGAUGUGAAAGCCCCGGGCUCAACCUGGGAACUGCAUUGGAAACUAACGGGCUCGAGUGUGGCAGAGGGGGGUGGAAUUCCACGUGUAGCAGUGAAAUGCGUAGAGAUGUGGAGGAACACCGAUGGCGAAGGCAGCCCCCUGGGCUAACACUGACGCUCAGGCACGAAAGCGUGGGGAGCAAACAGG